rnacentral:lncRNA from 1 species
UUUCUCAUCAUCAGAACUGUUGAGUUGUACGGGUUUUGUGUUUUGUCUGCAUUAACGCACGUGCACAAAUAAAAGACCUGCCACCGAAACAGGUUUAUUUACGAAAUAGUGGUUAGCAGAAUAACUUAUUAAAACAUUGAGAACUCUUGUUAGUAGUCAGUUUCCAGGAAUAGUAUUCAGGAAGCCCUGGGCAGUGGGAUUGAUCACUUAGUAAAUUUGUUGUUAAAGCCAAACCAAACCCUAACUGGAGAACUUUGGGAUAUUACGGCUCUGACCCCACUGUUCCUGUGUUAGUUCUGCUAACAACAUGCGGCUGUUGAGCACUGUUGAAGGGAUAGUAUAUGGGUUUCAAUAUAUUUUGAUACAUUGGCUAAAUAGAAUAAUUAUCAUUAAUUUCACCUGUUUCUUUUUACUUUUUAACAUGUGUUUACUAGAAAAAUGUAAGUGAUAUAGGUGUCUCACAUUGUAUUUCUGCGGAUGGGGCUGGUCUCAUUCUGUGUGUCUGAAACUCCAUUACUGGUGCCUUACUGGCUUCAGACAGGUUGUUUGGGUUUCCCACGGGACUGGGCAGGGCUUCUAAUUUUUUUUUUUAAGUUGAACAAAACUCUGAAACAUAAUGAAUCAAAGUUACAGAUCACUCUCUAUAUAGUCAGUGGGAGUUAGGAAAGUGGAACCCCUUGGAGCCAGAACAAGUUAAACAGCAAAACAAGUUCUCUGCUUUGAGCAAAGUAUUUCCCCCAAAGGUAUUUCUUUUCUAAGAAUUUGUCCAUUUCUUCUAGGCUUUCCGUUUUAUUUGCAUAGAUUUGCAUGUAGUAGUCUCUUAUGAUCCUUUGUGUUUCUGUGAUGUCUGGUAUAACUUCUUUUUCAUUUCUAAUUUUAUUGAUUUGAGUCCUCUCUUUGUUUUUCUUGAUAAGUCUGGCUAAGGGUUCAUCAAUUUUGCUGAUCUUUUCAGAAAACCAGCUUUUUGUUUCAUUGAUCUUUUCUGUGGUUUUCUUCAUUUCUAUUUCAUUGAUUUCUGCUCUGAUCUUUAUGAUUUCUUUCCUUCUGCUAACUUUAGAUCUUGUUUGUUCUCUCUGUAGCUGCUAUAGACAAAGGUUAUUUCUUAUAGCCCUACUUCUGCCCGUCAUAACUGAGCAACUGCCAUGGAUAUCUUUAGCUUCAGGCUUCAUCACAUUGGUAUCUAGAAAGAGAAAUAGUCCUUUCUCCUCCUUUGGACUACAAGUCGUACUUGGCACACCUCUCUAGGAGAAAGAGUAGCUGCUGGAAUUUGUAAUGACCUACUGUUUGUGCCUCCAGCAUGUUGGAACAUGCAAUGAUGUGUCAACUUUGGUGUCAUCCUUACCAGUGAACAUUUGUGAGAAUAACUCAUAGUCGAGGAUAACUUAUUGAUAAGGGUAUCCCGAAAAACUCGGACAAUCAAUACUGAUGCUUCGGAAUUCCCUUCGUGGCUUAGCAGUUAACCGUGAGCUGUGGUGUAGGAUCUGAGCCACGUCUGUGACCUACACCACGGCUCACGGCAGCACUGGAUCCUUAACCCACUGAGCGAGGCGGGGGAUGGAAUACGAGUUGGGCUUAUUACCCCUGAGCCAUGAUGGGAACUCUGGAUUCUGCACUUCUAACAAGUUCCUGGAUGAUGGUGCGGCGUCUGCUCCAGCUUGGCCCUGGAGUGGGUGGUGGAGCUGACUGUGAUCCCAAUUCACUUGUCAAUUUCAUUUUUUUAAAUCCAAUAAUAACCAAUUAUUAUUUUCUAUUGCUUUGCAUUCAACUUCAGAACAAUUUUGUUUUCAUUUUUCAUCUUAAAUUGACAGGGCUCUUACUGCUUUCCCAUCCCUGGUCUCUCUGUCUGGUGCUUAAAUAAUGCCUUUUUAAGAAAACAAAAUAAGACCAACAAUGACUAAUAUUUAUAUAAAGGUUUCUAUGUGCCAGGAACUGUUUACUGAAAUUCUUGCGACACCUGGUAAGGUAGGCGUGUUAAUUAUCCACAUCUUACAGGUGAGAAAGCUGCGGCAGGUAAAGCUAAAAUAACUUCCUUAGAUGCUCACAUAGUGCAUGGGAACUAGGAUUAUUUUAGGAGUCUAUUUAAAGGAGCCUUUUGUAAAUCAGAGACCCUGGGGAGAGCUGGAACAGUCCAGUCUAAGGUAUAAGUUUUUGUUACUCAUCAUUUGGUUUCAUCAUUUUUUACGAAAUGGGGACCCCACCCUCCUAGAGGCAGCAAUGGUGGUAUUUAUGCAGAAUGCAACCCCAGACUAACUGUGGAGGCUGGUUAAGUCUGGUAUCAUGAUGAGUACCUAGCAUGACCCUGGGGCAAGACCUCAGACAGGGAGCUCAGCUGUGGUUUGCAAAGGAACAAAGAUCCCAGCAAGCAGGACAGAUCCUGCUUCCAUUCUGAUUUGAGUGUAAAUUCAACUUUUGUCAAGCAAAGAUUUUUAAAUUGAUUUAUGGUCAACUUCGGAAGGUUUUUAUUUUUUGUUGUAAAUUGGCAGGGCCCUUGCUACUUUUCUGCCCCCAGUCUCUCAAUCUAGCACUUUAAAAUGUUGAGGGUAUUUCUCACUGUGGCGCGGUGGGAUUGGCGGCGUCACUGCAGCGCUAGAAUGCGGGUUUGAUCCCUGGUCUAGUACAGUAGUUUAAAGGAGCUGAUGUUGUUGCAGCUGCCAUGUAGGUCACAACUGUGGCUCGGAUCUGAUCCCUGGCCCAGGAACUCCAUAUGCUGUGGGGUGGCCAGAAAAAAGAAAAGAAAAGAAAUGAAACAAACAAAAAUGUUAAGAGUAGGAAUAAGACCACUGGAGCACCUGCAAGCCUGCCUUGUGGGUUGUGGGCUGUUCUGAAAGAGCUGUUGUAGAUGGACCUGAACAUGUUCUGCAUGAGGCCAGGGGACGUGGUCUUCAGGAGCUGUGGCUGCCACAUCUUGUGGAAGUGCUCAUACGUUGCUCAGAGCCCAUGGUCAGUUGUAAAGCUGUCUUACUCUGGGACCUAGGACUAGCCACUAACCAUCCCUAGUCUUCAUUUUCGUCUUUUCUAAAAUGAAAGGAUUUGGGACACAACCCAAAUGUCCAUUGACAGGUGAUUGGAUUAGCAAGAUAUGGUAUACAUACACAAUGGAAUACUACUCAGCCAUAAAAAAGAACGUCAUAAUGCCAUUUGCAGCAACAUGGGUGGAACUAGAGUCUCUCACACUUAGUGAAGUUAAGUCAGAAAGAGAAAGACAAAUGCCAUAUGAUAUCACUUAUAUCUGUAAUCUAAUAUAGAGCACAAAUGAACCUUUCCACAGAAAAGAAAAUCAUGGACUUGGAGAAUAGACUUGUGGUUGCCAAGAGGGAGGGGGAGGGAGUGUGGUGGAUGGGGAGCUUGGGGUUAAUAGAUGCAAACUAUGGACUUUGGACUGGAUGAGCAAUGAGAUCUUGCUGUGUAGCACUGGGAACUAUGUCUGGUCACUUAUGGAGCAUGACAAUGUGAGAAAAUAGAAUGUAUACAUGUAUAUGCAACUGGGUCACCAUGCUGUACAGUAGAAAAAAAAAUAUAUUGGGGAAAUAAUU